CCGCAAUAUAAGUACUGACACAGGGUCAGUCCACUGGAUCCUAGGUCACUCUACUGGAUCCCCCCAGGUUAGGAGUACUAUUCCUUGGUUCCUGACUUAUUGUUAGUACAAUACAUAUCCCCAAUAUAUGUACUAACACAGGGUCAGUCUACUGGAUCCUAGGUCACUCUACUGGAUCCUCCCAGGUUAGGAGUACUAUUCCUUAGUUCCUGACUUAUUGUAAGUACAAUACAUAGUCCCCAAUAUAAAUACUAACACAGGGCAGUCUACUGGAUCCUGGGUCACUCUACUGGAUCCUCCCAGGUUAGGAGUACUAUUCCUUGGUUCCUGACUUAAUGUAAGUACAAUACAUAAUCCCCAAUAUAAGUACUAACACAGGGCAGUCUAUUGGAUCCUAGGUCACUCUACUGGAUCCUCCCAGGUUAGGAGUACUAUUCCUUAGUUCCUGACUUAUUGUCCCCAAUUCAAGUACUAACACAGGGGCGGAAUAAUAGAUCCUAUGUCACUCUCCUAUAUCAUCAUUUUCAUUCAUUUGACUUCAUUAGGCAAUCUUUGCAUGUAAA